rnacentral:lncRNA from 1 species
AAAAUGCCAACCUUGUCAAUUUCAUGCAAACUUUAUUCAUCAACCGCCGGAGCCAUUGCACCCUACUGUUGCCUCAUGGCCCUUUGAUGCUUGGGGUUUGGAUGUGGUUGGACCUAUGACAAAAGUCUUCAGCUGNNNNNNNNNNNNNNNNNNNNNNNNNNNNNNNNNNNNNNNNNNNNNNNNNNNNNNNNNNNNNNNNNNNNNNNNNNNNNNNNNNNNNNNNNNNNNNNNNNNNNNNNNNNNNNNNNNNNNNNNNNNNNNNNNNNNNNNNNNNNNNNNNNNNNNNNNNNNNNNNNNNNNNNNNNNNNNNNNNNNNNAAAAUUUGUGAAAGUUUGGCUUCAAGCAAAGAAAGUCUUCAAUGUACAACGCAGCCGCCAAUGGACUCGCCGAGGCCUUCAACAAGACUUUAUGUAAUUUGCUGAAGAAAGUGAUCGCCAAGUCAAAACGUGAUUGGCACGAGAAGAUGGGAGAAGCUUUAUGGGCUUAUAGAACAACGUAUAGAACACCUACUCAAGCCACUCCAUAUGCUUUGGUGUACGGUGUGGAAGCAGUCUUGCCUCUUGAAAAACAAAUUCCAUCAUUGAGGAUAGCUAUACAAGAAGAACUCACUCAAGAAGAAAAUGCCCGUUUGCGUCUUGCAGAAUUGGAAGCUCUUGACGAGAAAAGAUUAGAGGCACAACAAAGUAUUGAAUGCUACCAAGCUCGUCUUUCUAGGGCGUUUAAUAAGAAGGUGCGGCCAAGAUCGUUUCAAGUUGGAGAUUUGGUACUUGCCGUAAGGAGGCCCAUCAUCGUCACUCACAAAACUAGGAAUAAAUUUACUUCAAAGUGGGAUGGUCCUUAUGUCGUCAAAGAAGCAUACACAAAUGGAGCGUACAAGUUGGUUGCCGAAGAUGGUUUAAGAAUUGGUCCGAUAAAUGGAAAGUUCUUGAAGCGGUACUAUGCAUGAAGCGGAGGAGAAGGCUCCUGGCCCGCAUGAGUUGAAACUGUGCACGGCUAAAAAAAAAAAAAAAAAAAAAAAAAAAAAAAAAAAAAAAAAUCUAUCUUUUUUCUUUGAACUACGUUAUGACUUGAUCCCACUCGGGGUACGUAGGCAGCUUAAAUAUUCUCUAAGUUCAGUCCUUUCCUAAAAAAAAAAAAAAAAAAAAUCUAUCUUUGUUUUCUUUGAACUACGUUAUGACUUGAUCCCACUCGGGGUACGUAGGCAGCUUAGAUAUUCUCUAAGUUCAGUCCUUUCCUAAAAAAAAAUCUAUCUUUUUUCCUUUGAACUACGUUAUGACUUGACCCCAUUCGGGGUACGUAGGCAGCUUAGAUAUUCUCUAAGUUCAGUCCUUUCCUAAAAAAAAAAAAAAAAAAAAAAAAAAAAAAAAAAAAAAAAAAAAAAUCUAUCUUUGUUUUCUUUGAACUACGUUAUGACUUGAUCCCACUCGGGGUACGUAGGCAGCUUAAAUAUUCUCUAAGUUCAGUCCUUUCCUAAAAAAAAAAAAAAUCUAUUUGUUUUCUUUGAACUACGUUAUGACUUGAUCCCACUCGGGGUACGUAGGCAGCUUAAAUAUUCUCUAAGUUCAGUCCUUUCCUAAAAAAAAAAAUCUAUUUUUUUUCCUUUGAACUACGUUAUGACUUGAUCCCAUUCGGGGUACGUAGGCAGCUUAAAUAUUCUCUAAGUUCAGUCCUUUCCUAAAAAAAAAAAAAAAAAAAAAAAAAAAAAAAAAAAAAAAGAAUCUUUAAAAAAAAUAGGGGGACCACAAGGGAAAAGGAAAAUUUUUUUUUUUUCAGGAAUCAAAAAGGGGAAAUAACCAUUAAAAAAACCAAAAAUUAAAAAAAUAAAAAAAAAAUCAUCUAAAUCUAGCUCAAGCAAAAGGGUCUAAAUCCGUCCAACUUUUCUUUGGGCAUCUUCUAGAAGCUCGGCAGAAGCGCGCAAUUCGUCUACCAAAUCAUCACUUAAAGGGGAUGUAUUUUCAUGGCAGCAAUCUCUUCAUUAAUCUCACGAAUUUCUAUUUUAACAGUAUCAAGGAGUUCUCGUUGUUGUUUUAAUGAUGAUCUCAACUGUCCCACCCUCAGCUUCAAAGUAGCACGCUCUUUCUUAACACUCUCCAAAUCAUUAUUGGUGGCUUGAAAUUGAAGAGUCUCUUUGUGUUCUCUAGCUUGAGUAUUAUGCAAACGAUCUUUAGCCCCAUCUAAUUGUCGUGCUAGAAUCUCUUUAGAUGCCUUCUCAGUGUUCGACGACCUCACCUUAUCAUAAGCCGUCGCCUGGGAAAAUAAUGACUUCAAUAAUUCUUCUAUGCAAGAUAUGUCGAAAUCACCAAGAUCCCGCAUGGUUCCAAGAACUAAUUGGACAUCUUCUUGAAUAGACGAAAUGGAAUCAAUUGAAGUCCGUACUAUCCUCGCACGAAGAUCUUGCCAUAAUUGGCGAAGAAAAACCCGCUUGUGAUUUUUCAGGAAAUUCUCACCCACAAAAACUGAACAAGCACCAUUGUACGACCCUUUCGCGGUCUCUUUCAUCUUGGAUGUUCUGGCAGGCAUCAAAGUAGUCGGCGGCGAAGCUGCACCCGUUGAGCAAGCAUUGGCAGUGGAGUGAUGACUAGCUUGAGAUUCCUCGCGAUCGUCAACGUCAAUUAUCUCCUUUUCCAACUUAAAAAAAAAAAAAAAAAAAAAUCAUUAUAAAAAAAAAAAAAAAAAAAAAAAAAAAAAAAAAGGGAAAAGUAUAAAGUGCAACCUUCUCAGCAAAAGUGUCAUUUGUUCGAGAAUGACUGUCCACGUUGUUAUCAAUAUGAAGAAGAUCUUGUGGUUUUGAAGAUUGCGGGUCCCUCUUCGGCCUUUUCCAAUGACGCUCUAUAUGGCUAUUGUCACUCUCAUCCGAAGGAGGCAAAACGUUCUUCUUCUUUAUAUCUCUAGGAGGAUUUUUGGUUUGGAGAACAUUUUCGCGAGAAAGAUUGUCGAGACUACCUCUUGCCUCAUCUUCUUUGUCUUCAAGUGGAAUCUUACUUGACUCCAAGUUCAUCAGACUCGCAGCUUUAUUUUCAAGAUAAGUUCCGUAAGCUUUAGUCCACCAUCUCUUAUAGUCGUCCGUGUGAAACUUUCUCGGAUUUUGAGGAACGAUGGAAAACAUCACUUUAGACAUGGACUCGAGCAAAACACAUAGACGCCAAUAACGGAGUCCAUCUAUUAAAGAAGCCUCGCGAACGUCUUCAUCAAGUACUCCCGGAACAUCUUGGUAAAACCCAAAUUGACGGCUAAACCGAUGAGGACUAUAUGGCUCAAUAACGAAACGAUUACCACGCCGCAAGGAGAGAUAGCUCGAGCGAAUGGCGAUGAAAUAAUUUCUCUCGAACCCUUUAGUUGUUCCAUCAUCAACAUAUAAAGAAGACUCGCUCCUAGGGAUCGUGGUGCAAGUCCAAGACAUAAGAUCUCCUUUGUGAAUCCGUUUGCGUGCAUCCGCGGGAGUGUAGUAUCUAGCGCUUCUUUCUCCGGAAUAAGAUACCAUCUUUGGGCCAUCGACGGCUACGCCUUGCGGAACUUGACAAUGGGUCUUGAAAUAAAACGCCAACCAACUAUAGACGAAGUGAAUAGGAAACGGAGAAUUCUCUUGAUGGGGUCUCAAGGAUCUCGAAAUCCUAUUUAUGCCAUUGAAGAUGCUUGCCAAGACAGGAACUGCAAGAGAGACUUCUUCGCCACUCGCCAUUAUGCUAGCCAUCUUGAAUGUUGAAGGACGUAUCAUGCCCACAUCAUCAAUAGGGAGGACGAAGGUGCAAAGCCAACAAGCCAAAUGGGCCGCCAAGUACGUCUCGGACCUCAGUUCGACAUCAACGCUAAUGCUCGAAAACACAGCUUCUUCAAUGUUGAUCCAUUUCGCAUGUGCUUCAAUAUUGCCGGAAGGAUUGUGAGUUGACUUGGGGCGAACACCUUUCUUUUCUUUGCGCGGAGGAGGUUGAGUGUACUUCUUCUGCUUCUUCGACCAAAACUGAAUCCAGCUUUCGACAGAGACAUUGGAGGACGGAUCUUUAGAGCGCUUCCGAAGUAAGUGGUAGGCAUGGAAUAGAUGUCGGCAGGAACGGUGAGAAUAUCGAACACCCUUUGCAUCGGAACCGACGAGUUCUUGAGAGGCAGGGACAACUUCAUCGUAAAGCAGCCCGGUUAACGAUAGCCCGGAGAGGAUGUGCAAAUCCCAUAAAGAGAUAGACAUUUCUCCGGGAGACGUCAAGAGGGUAUUUGUAGUCGGACACCAUGCCUCGAAGAACGCCUUCAUAAUUUCGGAAUUGUAGUCGUACGUGAAGAGGGAAGCAUAUACAGGAUCAUAGAUCUUCGCGGACUUCAGCUUGUGCUGGCAACGACUGAGAACGUCUUCGGUCCACUCCCAGUACCCUUUGAAGAAUUGAAAGCCGCCGGAAAGCUCGAGAGUAUCUCCCCACUUGACUCUUCCAUUCACGAUGUUGUCACCCAAAGUCGGCAGAAGGCUCGGACCGCUUGACUCUUCCGGAAGCAAGGAUCUGUCGGGUUUAUGAUUUGAUGCUCGCAAGCUAUACACGUACUCGUACUUAUUAUGAGGAUGCUCGUGGGACCAAACGGACAUGCGAUUCGGAGUCGUGAGGCGUGGCCAUUGCUUUGCGUAAGAACCAAUAAGGGGGGCAUAAAUCGUCAAGACGGUUCCUUUGUCAUUCGGUUGGUAGCGAUCGUCAAGAAUUACCAAUUGCUCGUCGCCGGAAGAGGAGAAAGCUUGCUUGAAACAAACCAUCGCAAAACCUGUCAAAACAAUUUCAAAACAAAGAGCAAUUAGUUUGACAAAAAAAAAAGGAGGAAGAAAAAGAACGGGGGCAAGGAACUGCGCUAAAAUCAAAUACCAAAUCUGUCGAGUUGCGAAACCUGGAAAAGGAAAACAGUAUUUUGUUUUGGUAAGCAAUCGAGCAAAAUAAACGGGCAAAACUCGAAUUUAAAAAAAAAAACAAAAAAAAAAAAAACAAAAAAAAAAAACAAAAAAAAACAAAAAAAAAAGGGGAGAAAGCAGUUCUUAGUGUCAUAUUAUCAAACACCUGGCGGACGUGUUCAAAGAGUCUGAUUAUGCGUAUAUUUUAUAUGCAAAACUGACCUGGAAUCGAUUACAAGUAGCAGACAGAAGCAAAUAAUUGGCAGGUCGUUGGAUUUGUGAAUGAAAAAAAAACGAAGAGGGCAUCCCCCUUUUAUAAGGGAUAGAUGAAGCUAAUCCCACAAACCUUAGGUUUCUAAUCAACCAAUCAAAAGAAAGCAUAAUCUCAAUAGAAGAAGGAGUGUUCAACUUGUCCGUGAAACCAAAUUGCAAUGGGAAAAGGAGUGUUUAUUUUGCAGAGAAGAGUCACUGCCCAUUAAACUUCGAUUUGAAUUGGAAGAGAACUGCCCAUAUAGAAUUAAAAUUCUCUCAUCGUACGAUCCUCAUGUUUCACUCGAAGUAAAUUAAAAUUCCCAACUUAUGAUGCAGAGAAACCCGUUGAAGUUAGAAGUUCAAAAUUACGGUGUUGCUGCGCGAGUGUUUCAAAAAAAAAAAAAAAAAAAAAAAAAAAAAAAAGAGAUCGAAGAAUGGGAGAAGUUCUAAGCAUGAGGAAGUCUGAUGCUUCUAGCCGUCCGCACUUGUGAUUUGGGUGGGCCCAUUCAAUUUUAUUAUUAAGUAUGGGUUACGAUUUCAAUGAUCUCACAAAAGGUGCUCAAUUUUGAAAGUGUUGAGCUUGGGAGAUGUUUGUUACAAAACAAAAAAAAAUAAAUAAAUAAAAGUGAUUAUCGUGACUUAUUCACUUCAAGACGCAUCGUCCGUGAACAAGUCUCGUGGGGGCAUUUGUAGAUAAAUAAAUUUUAUCCAAAAGAAAGGGACCAUUGUGCAAUUACGAAACAAGGAAUUCUAUUUAAAUUCUAUGGCCCAUGGCAAUUCCGUAAUUAAAUAUUUAAAUUCAAAUCAAAUCAAGAUUAUGUGCCGUAUAUUGGUAUCUAUAUUUAAAUAUCAAUUACAUAUUUUCUAUUUUAAAUCUAGGGAUUUAAUUAAAUUAAUUCCUAAAUUAAAUAGAUAAUUGAUUUUAAAUAUAUAUUUACCAGUAGAACUAUUUAUUCUCUUCCAAAUUAUAAGGGAUAAAUAUCAAUUAAUUAUUGGCCAAUAGAAUUGUUUCUUCUCUUCCAAGUUACAAGAGAUAAAUAUCAAUUUAAAUCGGGCCAAUCAAAUCGCGCCACAUCAUCAGUAAGGCCCAUCAAGGACUCUUAUUCUACCACUAUAAAUAGGAAUCCUCCCUCCACAAUUAAAAACACAACUGAAGGAGCAGAAAUCGUAGGAGCAAAAUUCUCUCUACAAUUCAAGAAGCAAGGAAGAAGAAUUCGUAGGAGGUAAGAUUCUCUCUCUACAUUCAAAGUGUUCUUCGUCAUAUUCGAGGUGUUCUUGAGCAAAUUCAAGGCGUUCUUCGUCAAAUCUAGCGUUCGAUCCGAGAUAACGGUGCCAAACCUUCGGAUUAACGUUAAUCAAUUCAAGUCAAGAUCACUGGAAGAUUGAAGGGCCAAAUCCAUCAAGAAUUUCAAGAUCUUCAAGUCAACGCCCGUCAAAGUUCAACAAAUCAAGAUCGAAGGAAGAUUGAGGGGCCAAAUCCAUCAAGAACUUCAAAAUCUUCAAGUCAAAUCAAGUCAAAGUUCAACGUUCGAUCCGAGAUUCAAGUCGCAAGACCCUCGGAAGACGUUAUUCAAAUCCAAAUCAAAUCCGGAGAAGAUCAAAUCAACGACUCGUCUCCGAAAUUCAAAGUCAAUCAUAUAUUUUUCUUGAGAGAAUAAUCAGAGGAUUAAAAUAGAGAUUGUAGCCCGCAAUUUAUUUAUUUUAAUUCAAUAAAAUCAUCUUUGUUCAAUUUUUCUUGUUUGUUUAUAUCGCAGAUAAGAAUUUGUUGUUACACUUAUCUUUUUCUUUUUUAAUUUUAAAUUCAUAAUAUAUUUCAUUUCCUACUCAAUUGAUUAUUACUUUAAUUGAUCACAUACAAGGUUCUGAAAUUAAUUAUUAUAUAGGUUUUAAAAACAUGUGAAUAUCUAUGAUUACUUUAUUAGUAUUGGAGUAGCACAUAAAAUUUUAUCUAGUGCGAAUAAGUUAAUUAAACAACUUACUCGAUAUUCGAUUCAAGAUCGUUCUUUAAAAGCUCGUUAUUCAAGUUCAGUUUUUUUUUUUUGCAUAAUGAAUCAAAGAAAUGUUUUUAAUUUAAUAAGAUGUGAAGCUCGAUUCGAGUUCAGCUCAAUUAGUAUAUAUAGUUAUACAAUAAUUUGCCCGACAAAACCAAGUAAUAUAAUAAGAUAAAGUUAUUUUAAAUAUAGAUUGAAUUUGAUUAAAGAAGUGAUGACAUAAACUCAUUCAAAUGCUUUAAUCAACUUGACACUACUAUACAAGAAACAUAAAAGAGAAAACAAUUCACGAAUUGCAUGCGCAUCCAUAUCUUCUUUCCUUUAAUUAAUAUUAUUAGGAUAAAUUACAUCCACCCGAUAUAUGGUCAAAUUGCGAAAAUUCUCUCAUGUUUGGGUAAUUAUAACCACCCCUCAACUAUAAAUUUUCUUACACGUCUACCCUUGUGGUUUAAAAUUUAGUGGAAUAUUCGAGAUCAUAUUGGAUAUUAUCACUUUUGUACCCGUUUUAUCCCAUUCGAACUCCACAUUUUGAAGCAAGGUGAUCAUAAUAUGUGUUUUUUGGCUUGUAUAUAUCAGAUUGUGAUGCAUCAGAAACUGUAUUUUUACACAAAACGUGUACAAACUAGAGCACAUUCCACGAUAUCUAUAUGAUUAUGUUGAAUUUGACACCAUAAGGGUGGAGGUGUAAGAAAAAAUCAUAGUUUAGGGGAUAUAUGUAAUCGUCCAAACAAGAGGAAUUUUUUCGUAAAUUGACCAUACCUCGGGGAGUUAUUGUAAUUUACCCAUAUUAUUAUUAUUAUUAUUAUUAUUAUUAUUAUUAUUAUUAUUAUUAUUAUUAUUAUUAUUAUUAUUAUUAUUAUUAUUAUUAUUAUUAUUAUUAUUAUUAUCAUCAUCUUUGGUUUUAUAUCUUGUCACAUCCUAGUAUUCAUGUCUCCUUUUCUCCCUUUUGAUUGACCGUCAAAUGCGCAUGCGUAUAAGUUACAAACACUCCAUUUGGUUUGAUUCGAUACUAUAUUUUAUAACCACUCCAUUUCAAAUUCAAAUUCUUUAUUGACAUAUGUUAAUCAUUUCAUAUUAAUACCUCAAAUUAAUAUUAAUCAAUUGGGGUGAAUUUAGCCCUAGAUCCAGUUUGGGGCGAGCUUCCCAAAAAUUGAAAUUGAAAUUGAGUGAGUUUAAUUCAAAAGGAGGUGUGCAAAAUUUCUCCAAUCAUUUUAACUUAAGUCCAAAUUUCUAAGAAAACAAAAUUGAGAAUAGAAACUUUGACUUGAAUUGGUAUUUUUCCCAUGUGACAAAAGUAGGGCUGGGCAAAAAUUACCAAAUACCGAUUACCACGGUAUACCUACCACAAAUUACCGAAUAAAUACCGAACUAUCGGUUACCACUGCAUUUGGUACGGUAUCGUACCGUACCAUUUUCUUACGGUACGGUAGCGGUAUUGUAUCUUCAAUACCAUGGUAAUACCGUACCGUACCGAAACUUAUUUUAAAAAUUAGUUAACAUAUUUUUCCAUUUAUAUUGUUAAAUAAAAAAUAAAUAGUCAACAAAUAUUAUUAAAAAAAUAAAAAACAAGAAUAAAGAUAUGAUACAUCCAAUAUAUAUUAUAUAUACAUAAUUAUAAUUUUUUUUUACUAUUUUAUAUUUAUGCAAACUCAAUAUUUGCCUCUCGUUGAAGUUGUUUAGGUCACGUACUUCUUUAGUUUCAAAGUCCAACUAAUCUCUUAUUGGUGGAAUACUUUUUGCCAUAAUUUUCUUCUCCCUUUAUUUCCUCCCUAAUUCUCAACCUUUUGUUUCAUUUGCAUUAUUGCAACAUAGUUUUUUUUCUAUUUCUCUUUAUAUAAACCAUGAAAUUUUUUUGCUCAUUAAUUUCUACAAUUUUUCUAUAGAUAUCUUAGCAAUCAUUAGUUAAUUGAAGUGCUAUUACGGUCGUAUAAUGUACAUUCAUGUAAAUUUCCUGAUUAUCAUAUUCAUUUGCUUAAUUUGUUUUAUUUAAUAUUCAUCUUAAUUAUGAUAUCAUUCGAGUUAAUCAACACAGUGAUGUACGGUAGAUUACCACGUACCGAUCAUACCGUACCGAAACUAACGGUAUACCGCAAUUGUUGGUACGGUAACGGUAUAGAAUUUUUCAAUACCAAAAGAUACGGUAGGUACACGGUAUUGAAUAAAAUGUUCGGUAACCGUACCGAAACCACCCCUAGACAAAAGUGUUGUCUUUUCAGUUUUCAGUAAUAAUAAUAAUAAAAUGUGAAGAGGAGAUUCAACAUAUAUCAAAACCAUUUUAUAACGUUACUGUGCUGUGCAAUGCAUCCUUAUGAUUUUUUGUCUCUUGUCUUUAAAAGUAGUGCAAAUUAUAGUCCAACUUCAAUUCGGUCCAAACAUACAUCCCUUUGUCCAAUGUUUUUGGUCUCCAUUUCACUUAUUGUCUUUGAUUCUUCUUCUUUUUUUCUUUUUUAAAUUUAUUUAUCAUUAAUUCGAUCAUCGUCUGUACUGACAAUGAGUACAAUCGGCAAAAAACGUGCGAAAUCAAUCAACAUAUUAUGUUACUUUCUAGAUUCAACAAUUUUACGCGAUGUGAAUAAGUAUAGAUUUACGCACUACAUUCGUACAAAAUGUAGCAUAUACGAGUGUGACAAAAGUUUUGCUACGGUAAAUGGCCGUACCAAUUAAUACUUUUUUGCUACGGUAAAUUCUAGUAUUUACUACGACUUCAAAAUUGUUAUGUAGUAAAAAGUACCUUUUAUUAUGAUUUUUUACUGUAGCAAAAAAUUUCGUAGUAAUAAACAAAUUUUCUACUAGUGACGGUUGAAAUCUACCCAAUGUAAAUAACCAGAUUUAGCAUCUAAUUGUCCAAAAAUGAAGGUACAAAAUGAAAUCCGAUAUUAAUAACAAAUAAAAGCCAUAAUUAUAAGAAUAUAUCAGACAAAGAAGAACAUAUAUAUAUAUAUAUAUAUAUAUAUAUAUAUAGAGAGAGAGAGAGAGAGAGAGAGAGAGAGAGAGAGAGAGAGAGAGAGAGAGAGAGAGAGAGAGAGAGAGAGAGAGAGAGAGAGAGAGAGAGAGAUUCUUAAAACAAACAAACAAAGUAGAACAGUUACAAACAGAACACACAUGCAUGCAUGCAUAUUUAUCUUAAUUACACUUCAAUCAUAUACAUAUACAUAUAAUAAUAUAUAUACUGAAUAAACCACCUAAAACAUUACUCAGAAUAAUUCAGCAACUUCAUAUCCAAAUGGGCUUUCUGGAAGAUCUAUUUCUUCAUAACUGCAAAUUUCAUUAAUUACCAAAAUAAUAUUAAUAUAAAUUACAAUCAUUAAUAAAAAUAAAAAAUAAAUAAAAUUGGAGUUACAAGAUGAACUAAUUUGUCUUGAGAUAUUAAUUAAUUACCUCUCCGGCGGCUCGUUGAUGCUCGUCUUAACGUGAGUACGUUUGUCUUGACUAGUGCUGGAGCCAUCAGAUGACGACGACUGGCUCGUGAGCAACAACGUAUGAUCUGUCUCCGAGACGAUUUCCUUCCUCUUGAGCUCAACUACUAACAUACACAGAAUAUACAUAUACAAUAAUGUAAGCAUGCAUCCAAAAAAAGAAACAAUUUUUUAAUAUAUAUAUGUAACGAAAAAUGAAUCUUGAAAAAAAAGAAAAAGUUGGAGUCUUGCUUGAAGGAGGCUUGGAUUCUGCAUCUUGAUUUGGAGCGCUGUUAAUUGCAUGCUCGAUUUUCUCCUCCGUCUUUCUGCACGGAGAAUAUACUACAACAUCAAUCACAACAUUUUGAAAUAAUAUUAUUCUAAUUAAGAUAAUUGCAUGCGUAAAAAUCGACGAGAGGUUCGUGUAUGAUACAUCUUUAAAAUUAAAAGGAGAACUUAUAAGAAUUGUAAGACUUGAUUUGUCGUAAUUUUUACGUCGAAAAAUCUGCACAUCAAGAAUUCAACAUAUACGCAUGUGCAUGUAAAAAAACGCCCGUAUUUAUCAGAAAAUGGCACGUAAAUUAAAGUCGAAUAACCGCCACGAGACACUGAAUUAAAUAGGAAUAGCGUCACAAGACACGACAAAUUAAAAAGAAAAACAGAGAAGACAUACGUAAGAGACCGUAUAUUUUAUUACCUAUCAAGGACGAUUGUCUUUCGAUAAGGUUUCACCAUGACGUGCGCUUCACCGAUAAAAUGAGGGUUCGUUUUAGUCAGGACAAGGGCGGCUGUCUCCGGAUAAACAAACGUCACAAAACCGUACAUCCUCUUGUCCAAAUUCGGAAUCCUAACUUCCCUUACCGGCCCAAAAUUCCUGCAAAUUAAAUUAAAUAAUAAUUAAUAUUCUCGCCGUUAAUUACAACAAUGUAACCAAUUAUUAAUACCUAGUAGCUAGACAUAUAAUAAACUUUUUCCUUACUCGAAAUAAUCGUAAAUAUCUAGAUCAGAGAAACUACUCUGCGGAAGAAAAGUCAGAUAAACUUGGCACGAAUUCGCUGCAAUAAAUUCAUCUCCGUUUCUUUCUUCGAUAAAUCUAUUGUACUUGUGUAUAUCAUCCGCCAAAAUAAUCGACUGCCUCCCAUGUGGCCUAUAUUGAAAAUUUAAAAAUAAAAUUAAAAACAUUAAUCACCUUCAGUUUAGCUUAUAUAUAUAUAUAUACAAACACACGUAACGAAAGAUCAUUAAUAAUGACACCUGUCAAUGACGCGAAUGCAUUUCGUCAUGUAAGCAAAAAGUUGAGCAACGGUGCAUUGCGCUUCUCUAAGAUACACGUCGACCAUAAACGCCCUCUCGUACUUAUCGUAAUAAAGAAUGGGCAGCGAAGAAAUCGAGACAGGAAUACCCCUCCUCGAUUUCAAGAGCUCGAUUAUCUCCACCUCGAGUUGCUUGAGGGCUCCACGCGAAAACGUGCGGUCAAUAUUCGGCUCGUUCGGUGGGUUAAGUACCAUAUAGCCCCCGUUCUCCGUUCCAAGUACAUGCAAGAACUUACACGCGCCCCCGUACUUACAAUACCCCUUCUGGAAGUUAUCGCAUAUCAUUGCUCCGGAAGGUUCCGGAAAGUGGGGGCAGAAAUCAUGCACAUGACAGUAUUGCAUGAACUGAUCUUCCAAGGGCAAGAUCAGAUGAGGUUGUUGGAAGUUAUGAACCGAUGGGUGGUGAUAAGUGGCCGGGAUCGUAGCUAGAGGAAUAUUCCGUUGUCCGGUUUCGAGUGGGGAACGAGAUGAAGAAGGGGUGAAGGGGGUGAAGUUUGUGGGGAGUUUUGUUUUGGGGGGUGAGAGUAGUGGAGUACUAGGGUUUGGAGAUGAGGUGAGGUCUUGUUUGACUUUUUCGAUCAACGAGCGGAGUAGGUAUUCGGGUCCGAAGGCUAAACGGAUCAUUUCGAGUUUGGAGUAGCCUUUCAGGAGGAGAUAACCGAUUAUUUUGGAGACGUUUUCCGGGUCGAGAUCUUGAAUUCUUUCGAAAACGGCUUUUGUUGACUCGGAGUAGUUCAUCUUCAAACUCAACCUGUAUAUUAAACAACAAUUAAUUAAUUGUGUAUAUAGUGUGUAUUUAUGUAUGUAUGUAUAUAUAAGAAUGGCACAACAUAUAUUAAGAAAUAGUUGGAGAAAAUGAAGAAAGAAAGCAAAAUCAAAUUAAAGAAUAGAAUCAAAUCAACUCAAAAUGCAUGGAUAUAUACAUAGGCAUAUCAUAUUAGUUAAAUUUUGUAAAUUUCACUAAUAUACCAUCAAACUGACAUUUUUGCAAACGGCAAUUUCAAGCUAAUUAAAAUGACUAAUUGGUUAAUUAAACUCAUAUACAUAUAAUGGUGUGAUUAAAGCUAUAGCGACGACGUUAAUUUCGAUGCAAGAACAAGAACAAUCACCAACAAACAGUAUUUAACUACUAAGAUUAGACAAGCACAAACACGAGCUAGGAUAAAUGAUGAAUGUGCAAAUAAAACGAUCUCUUUAUAUUUGAUGGAAAACGGAGCAAUUAGAAAUUAACAAAAAGAGCACGAAAUUUAAUCUGCAUGAACCAUUAAUUAAUUUAAAAAGAAGAUCUUCUUUCACUACAAGGAAACAUGCAUUGUACAAGAAAUGAUCCAUUUUCUUGCAUGCAAGAUCAUAAAGAUCAUAUCUUUACAAAGAAUUUGCCAAUAUGAAGAAAAACCCAUGUCGAUUGAAGUGUUGAAAAGGAUUAUUAAUGAAAAAAAAAAGAUCAAAUUUUUAAAAGAAAAACAGUUCUUGAAAAAAAAAAAAACCCACCAAAAUCUUUAGCUGCAGAGAAGAUCGAGGCCGAAUGAACACCGAGUUUCAGUCGCAGAGUUGAGAAGAAGAAGAAGAAUAGUUGAUCACUGAGAAAAUGUGGUUGGCAUAAUAUAAUUGUAAUAUUUGGUGGUGGUACGGUGGGUAUAUUAAUUAAGAUAUAUAUGACAUACAUAUAUUGAUAUGACUCCAAAAUUGCUCACGAAAAUUAAGAGGAGAAAAAGGACACACAUCGAUAAAGGUAUUGUCUUUUGCUCUCAUUUCUCGCCUACUUUCAGUUUCUCUAUUUCUUCUUCUGCUUCUUCUGCAAUUGUAUUAUUAGUUUACAAAACCCACCGAUAUAACUCAAAUCAUCCAUUGUUUAUAUCGAUCUCCACGUACACCUUGUCAAUUCAUUAUAUAUUUUUUAUUUCUAUAUAUUUUCUAGCAAUAUAUAUAUAUAUAUGGAACCAUGCAUCCAUCACAGCAGAUAUAGAAACCAGAAGUGUAUACCUAACUUUUAAGGUUAGCAUGGGACAAAACCCACCUCUCUCCUUUCAUCUCCUUAAUUUAUAUUUUUAUAUUUAUUUUUGUGUGGGCCCCAGGCCCAGAGAAAAACAACGUACGUAGGCAGUUGAUGUAAGAGAGCAUGCAAACUGAAAAUGAGGAUGUAAUUACUGCUUUUUUUUUUAGGUAGUAUGGUACGAAUUAGUUAGAAAGGCAGAUGAUCGAUCGUAUCGAUCACAUUUAAACUCACCUACUGUAUUUUGCAUGCAUGCCAUUUGUCUCAUGACUACUUUCUUUAUCAUGCAUGCAUCAUCUAAACCCCACCACCGAUAUAUCUCCCUUGUUUGUCUGUUGCGGACGAGUUGUUUCGUUUCUUGCAAGUCGAGACUCUAGUUCAAUGGGGAGAGCCAGCAGGGCGCGGAUCAUCGCUUCGUUUUGAACCACAAGUGGUACUUCCCUCAAUUCAUGUCAUGUUGCUGGCUUUCCGCCAGCUUUCUUUUAUCUUUGGGCCGAAUAUAGUCACACUCGUCGCCUAUAACUACCCUACAUUGGGCUUAGUGGUCAAUGUGGGAGUGGAUCUGAGCUUUAUUUGUAAAAUUAUUAUUACUUGGACUUUUAGGACAAUCGAGCCCAUAUCAAGGAGGAUUUAAAUUGGAAAAAAAAGUUAAAAACAAUUUCUUAAUAAAUGAAAUAUUAUAAUUAGAUGGGCCAACAUAUUUUUCAAGAUCCCAUUAAAUAUACUUAUUAUAAUUGUUAGACACUUGGUCUUGGAGUACGUAGGCCUGUUGAAAGAAAGCCCAAACGGUGUACUUUAACUCAUUGCAGCCAGUAAUUAAUUGUAGGGUAAAUUACAAACACCCCUGAGGUAUGGUCAAAUUACAAAACCCCCCUCUUGUUUGGAUAAUUACAUCUAUCCCCUUCAGCUAUGGUUUUUUCUUAUACCUCCACCCUUAUGGUACCAAAUUCAACAUAAUCAUCUAGAUUGCGCGGAAUGUGCUCUAGUUUGUACUCGUUUUGUGUAAAAAUACAGUUUCCGAUGCACCACAAACUGAUAUAUACAAGCUAAAAAACACAUAUUAUGAUCAUCUUGCUUCAUAAUGUAUAGUUCGAGUGGGAUAAAAUGAGUACAAAAGUGAUAAUAUUCCAUAUAAUCUCGAAGAUUCCACUAAAUUUGAGGAGUUGAGGUGGUGGUUGUAAUUAUCUAAACAAGAAGGGUGUUUUUGUAAUUUAAUCAUACCUCAUGGGUGUUUGUAAUUUACCCUUAAUUGUAAUAAUUUGCAAGUUUUAUUUUUUAAUUAGGGUAAAUUACACCCACACCCCUGGGGUAUACUUAAAUAACUUUAAGGUCCUUGUGGUAUCGAUAAUUACAUUAACCCCCUUGAAACGUAGUUAUAAACUCUAAUGGUAUAAUGCAUUGGAUACGUUAUUACGAUAGAGUUCUAACGGACUAUUGGUUUCAGGAAGUGGUGAAGACAACAAAGAGUUAUGAGUGAUUUAAGAAAUAUUGGGGGAGCCAUGUCACCCUAUAACUCCCCAUAACUCUAUGUUACCUCCAUAACUAUCUAAAAGUAAUAGUCCAUUAGAACCCUAUCGGAAUAAUGUAUCUAAUGCAUUAUCCCGUUAGAGCUUUUAACUACCUUUCAGGGGGGUGAGUGUAAUUAUCGAUACCACAGGGACCUUACAGUUAUUUAAGCAUACCUCAGGGGUGUGGGUGUAAUUUACCCUUUUAAUUAUUUAUUUACUUUGAGUCUUACAAAUCAAAAUCAAAGUCUACUAUUUGCAUUUGAUUUUCUAGAUAAUAAAUUGUUAAAAACUUAUAAAAUUAAAUUUGUUCUUGCAAAUAAACAAGUUUGACAACCCCCACCGCCACGUUCUCUUCUCACCGGCGCAACCCCACCCUUGAUUCACCUUCCUCCACCACCACCACCGCCACUGCCGCCGGCAGCUCCACCAUCCGUCCGUCUUCCUAUUUAUAGAUCCACGUAGUAUAUGUAAUCUAUUCUUCUGAAAUUAAUUUGUUGCGAGGAGAUAAAUUAUACCAAAAAUCAGAAUUUAAUGUAUCAGUGGAGGAAAUUCGACUUCUUCGAGGAGAAGAAGAUCAAAAUUCCGGAGGAGAUAGAGGCCGGAAUUCAAUGCUGCUCCAGCGGCCGAGGCAGGAUCGUCUUAGGUUCCCAAGACGGCACCGUUUCGCUUCUCGAUCGUACCCUCCAGCUCCACCGCUCCUUCCCCGCUCACUCCGCCUCCGUUCUCCUACUCCAACAACUCAAGGUAUCUAACAUUUAAUUAUCCCCAAUUUCAUCCUGGGUUUUAUAAGGUUUUGUGUGUGUGUGUGUGUUUGAUCCAAUUGUUCUUCUGAUUGUGACAAAUCGAUGUUUUCUUAUCAUUAAAACUCUAGGCUUGACAAUUAAUUUUAAUGCUAUAAUUUUCAAUUAAGCUCAAUUAGGGUAUUUUUUUCAUUGUGUUCCUGGUCCAGUAACCUGUGAUUUCCAUACUUUACUUAACGCAAAAUUUCGUUUUCUGUGCUGGCGAAUUAGCAACGGAACUUCUUAGUGACAGUUGGAGAAGAUGAACAAAUGCCGCCACAACAAGCGGCUAUAUGCCUAAAGGUUUUCGACCUUGAUAAAAGGCAAGAAGAGGAGUCGAGUUCAUCAAGUCCAGAGUGCCUCCAAAUUCUGCGGAUUUUUACCAACCAAUUUCCCGAAGCAAAGGUACAGUUUAUGCAAUAUAAACACCCUUAUUAUUAAAUGUGUACUUUGUAUAGGCGUGCUUGUGAAGUUAAAAUACCCUUAAAAUGGCUGUUCAACAGAUCACAUCUUUCGUGGUUUUCGAGGAAGCUCCACCGAUUAUAUUUAUUGCACUUGGAUUGGACAACGGUUGUAUUUAUUGCAUUCAAGGCGACAUUGCCCGUGAAAGAAUUAAACGCUUCAAGCUAGAGGUUGACAGUGGUCAGCCUGGCAAAACAAAGUCAGCUAUUACAGGGCUCGGAUUUCGUGUGGAUGGUCAAGCGUUUCAACUCUUUGCUGUCACAUCAAGUUCAGUGAGCUUGUUUAACUUGCAUGCUCAAACACCUACUGGACAAACACUUGAUCACAUUGGUUCCGAAACUGCUAGUGUAGCAAUGAGUGAUCGCUUGGUUGGUUACGCUCUCUUUAUUUCAGUCUUUGUUCUAAAUUAUAAAGUAAAUGAACUAAACUCUUUUUUUUUUCUUCUUUUUUUGGGAAUUAGGAACUGAUUAUUGGUCGGCCCGAAGCUGUGUAUUUCUAUGAAGUUGAUGGCCGAGGCCCGUGUUGGGCUUUUGAGGGAGAGAAAAAGUUCCUCGGCUGGUUUCGUGGGUACCUUUUAUGUGUUAUUGCUGAUCAAAGAACUGGGAAGAAUACUUUCAACAUUUACGAUCUAAAGAACCGUUUAAUAGCCCAUAGUAUCGCAGUUCAAGAAGUUUCCCACAUGCUCUGUGAAUGGGGUACAAUCGUACUCAUAAUGGCCGACAAAUCUGCCCUUUUUAUCGUGGAGAAGGAUAUGGAGAGCAAGUUGGAUUUGCUUUUCAAGAAAAAUCUAUACACGGUAGCUAUUAAUCUUGUCCAGAGCCAGCAAGCUGAUGCUGUGGCAACUGCUGAGGUGCUGAGGAAAUACGGCGACCAUUUGUACAGCAAACAAGACUAUGACGAAGCGAUGGCUCAGUAUAUACUCACGAUCGGUCAUUUAGAACCUUCGUAUGUCAUUCAGAAGUUUUUAGAUGCACAGAGAAUUUACAAUUUAACGAAUUACUUGGAGAAGUUACACGAGAAGGGGCUUGCUUCAAAAGAUCACACCACUCUUUUGCUCAACUGUUACACGAAACUAAAAGACGUUGACAAGCUGGAUCUAUUCAUUAAAAGCGAGGAUGAACAUAAAUUCGAUGUGGAAACUGCGAUAAGGGUAUGCAGAGCUGCUAAUUACCACGAGCACGCGAUGUAUGUUGCAAAGAAGUCAGGGAAGCAUGAAUGGUACUUGAAGAUUUUACUCGAGGACUUGGAUAGGUACGAUGAGGCGUUGCAGUAUAUAAAUAGCCUCGACCCAAGUCAAGCCGGGUUGACCAUUGAAGAGUAUGGGAAGAUUCUCGUAGAGCACAAGCCGAAGGAGACAAUUCAAAUACUGAUGAGGCUUUGUACCGAAGAAGGAGAACCGGCUAAAGGUGGAACCUUUAUAACCAUGCUGCCAUCUCCUGUCGAUUUUCUCAAUAUUUUCGUGCACCAUCCACAGUCGCUUAUGGAAUUUCUCGAAAAAUACACCAACAAAGUGAAGGAUUCUCCUGCUCAAGUCGAAAUCAACAACACGCUAAUGGAGUUGUACUUGUCUCAUGACUUGGACUUCCCUUCUCUUUCACAGACUGGCAGCAAUGAAAACGGCGAUCUUGGAACGAAUAGAGGUUCAAAUGCUGCUGCAACAACUUCAAGAACAGAGAGUAAUGGAAACGUAUUUUCUGAUGAUGCAAUCGAGGAGAAAUAUCGCAAAGAGAGACGUCGAAAAGGGCUGAUCUUGCUGAAAAAUGCUUGGCCCGCCGAACAGGAGCAGCCACUGUACGAUGUCGACCUUGCGAUAAUUCUGUGUGAAAUGAACUCGUUUAAAGAAGGGCUAUUGUAUCUGUACGAGAAGAUGAAACUGUAUAAAGAGGUCAUUGCAUGUUAUAUGCAGGCGCACGAUCACGAAGGUUUAAUUGCGUGCUGCAAGAGAUUAGGGGAUUCGGGUAAGGGCGGUGACGCAUCUCUUUGGGCAGAUCUGUUGAAGUACUUUGGUGAACUUGGAGAAGAUUGCUCGAAAGAAGUCAAAGAAGUUUUGACUUACAUAGAAAGGGAUGACAUGUUGCCUCCCAUUGUAGUUCUUCAAACCUUGUCGAGAAAUCCAUGCCUUACUCUUUCUGUGAUUAAGGAUUAUAUAGCUCGAAAGCUGGAAAAGGAGUCGAAGCUGAUUGAUGAGGAUCGGAUAGCUAUUGAAAAGUAUCAGGUAAUUUUUUCAUUUCACUUAAGGCAUCUUUCUUUUGUCAUUCGAUAAGUAAAGAACUAGAGUUUGUUAUACUGCAAGAACUUACUGACUAUAUCCACUAUCUCAACAUAUACCUGCAUUAUUAUAGAUUGUUUUUGGUUUUGGAUUUUAAAUUCUGCAUUAGGUUUUUAAACGGUGCUUUAGAAGUUUCUUCAAGAAUUUCUGACAGUAUCUAGUUAAGACUGUUCUUCUGCAGUAUACUUUUAGUCUUCUCUUUCAUCUGGUUCCAAAUUUCAAAUUUCUCCAAUAUUAAAUCUUCACUGCUUGUCCGUCUAUAGAAAUGCAGUUGAUUCUUGAUUCCAUUUUAUAUUCUGAUUAUUCAACUGCAAAAUAAAAUACGAGCCGGAUUAUAGAUGAAAUUUGAUUUCCAGGACUUGGCGUCUUCAAAUAUGGUCAUAAUCUAAUGACGUCAUUUGUAGAAUCUUUUCAAUGAUGUCGAUACUUUCAAGAAUCAUCUGUGUACGAAACUUGUUCAAUUUUUGAAGGAGCAAUUGUUUUGUUCCUGCAUUUGCUAUUUUCGGUUUUCUUUGGCCGGUACUGCAAACAUUGUGUGUACAAUAUGUAUUGUAAAAAACAAGCUCAAACCAUUUGUUUAUUUGCAGGAGGAAACAUCAGCCAUGAGAAAAGAAAUCCAAGAUCUUCGGACAAAUGCAAGAAUAUUCCAGCUCAGCAAGUGCACCGCUUGUACUUUCACUCUCGAUCUCCCCGCGGUACAUUUCAUGUGUAUGCACUCUUUUCAUCAACGGUGCCUAGGUGACAACGAGAAAGAAUGUCCAGAGUGUGCUCCCGAGUACAGAUCUGUCUUGGAAACGAAGAGAAACUUAGAACAGAACUCCAAAAACCAAGAUUACUUCUUCCAACAAGUUAGAAGUUCAAAGAAUGGCUUUUCUGUAAUUGCUGAGUAUUUUGGUAAAGGCAUCAUCAGUAAAACUACUAAAGGAUCUUCGGAAGCUAUUAAACCGACCAAUGAUUACUCAAACGGCAGCUUUUGAGAUUUUUUGUUUUCCGGCAAUAAAAGUCGAAAUGAGACAUUAAUAUAUAUAUCUCUCUAUCUUGUUAGUGCUUGAUUUGGUUUGUGAUUUCUUUCCUAUAAACGGUGUUGUAAUUUGGCCGAAAGUGCCGAUAUUACGUGUUGUAGUUUUCGGGUUUUUUUUCUUCUAAUGUAUCAUUGGAUUUGUUGUGCAUUUCUUAGGGUAUGUUUGGUUGAUUCUUUGGUGACAAUUGAAUUAUAGAAACAAGAUGAUUCUUGAAUGAAUUAUUGUGCUAUGUAAUGUAAUAAUCUGAUUUUUUUCUGAGUGGGUUUGGUCAAACAUGAAACCUAUGUUAUAAUAUUUGUUGUUAUAUUACUGGAACUAUAUACUAGCAGUGCUGGUAUGAAAGAUGAAACAUCAUUUCAUGGGCAAGGGUAGUUUGGACAAAGCACAUGAAAAGAAAAAGUAGAUGGGGCCAUUUAAUUCAGCAACAAAAGAGGACAAAAGAUAGUUUAAGUUUUGAGUAGGCCAAACCCCAGUUUCUAAAAAGUUAAAGCCAAACACUUCCCACAAUAAUAAUAAUAAUAAUAAUAAGGGUAAAUUACACCCACACCCUUGUGGUAUGCUUAAAUAAUUUUAAGGACCCUAUGGUAUCGAUAAUUACACUCACCCCUGAAACGUAGUUAAAAACUCUAACGGAUAAUGCAUUGGAUACAUUAUUCCGAUAGGGUUCUAAUGGACUAUUAAUUUUAGCUAGUGGUGGAGAUAAGAUAGAGUUAUGGGGUGACAUGACUCGCCCAAUAUUUCUUAAAUCACCCAUAAAUAUUUGUUGUCUCCACCACUUCCUGAAACCAAUAGUCCAUUAGAACUCUAUCGUAAUAACGUAUCCAAUGCAUUAUCCCAUUAGAGUUUAUAACUACGUUUCAAGGGGGUGAGUGUAAUUAUCGAUACUAUAGGGACAUUAAAGUUAUUUAAGCAUACCUCAGGGGUGUGGGUGUAAUUUACCCUAAUAAUAAUAAUAAAGUAUAAACAACUCUCUCUUUCUCUCCUUUCAAUACUCUCUCUCUCUCUCUCUCUCCUGUUUCUCUCUCUUCCACACAAUACACACAGGUACCAACACACACUGAAUUGAAAGACUUACACGCACUCAUUCAUCACCUAAUGUAGGAAAUCACGACCCUUAAUUCAUCGAUUAUUGGAAGGUUUGGAUUUUGCUUUUACAAUAAUUGCCAUCAACUGUAUUUCUCUACUGUGCUGUACUAAUACAUUUUGUGAUUAAAUUCAUUACUAAUCUCAAUUGCACGCCGUUUGUUGAAUUUUAGGUUACUUUUUUUUUUUCUCUCUCUUUCGAGAAAGGGUUGGUUUCUGCAAAAUGAGCAAAGAAAAAGUGAGGUCACCUGAGCCUCUUGAUUUCUUCAUUUGGACUGUUGAGGUAGUAAAGCUUUCAUUUUUCUUUUUAAUUCUUCAAUUCGUUUUGUUUGAUCUUGUUUUUUAAAUUUUAAUUCUUUGGAUCUUGUAAUUUUUUUGUAAUUCUUUGUGUAUUUAUUUUAUUUUAUUUGAUUAUUUACCUGUUCCAGUUGAUCAAAUUCUUGCUGCUUGCUUGGUUAGUGUUGAUUUUGGGGGUGGGGGUGUUGAAAUAAUCAUGAAAAUAUAUUUUUUUUAAUUGAAGUUUUUGUGUUUAGUCAAUUUAUGGUGUACUGAUUAUUUUAUAAUGUUUUGGUGAUUUUUAGUUUGAAUCUUGACUCUUGUUUCUAAUGAAUGUGCAAAAAAUUGGGUUUGAAAACUGAAUUGUAAAAUGAGUUGGUUAAACUAGCAUUUGAUCCAUGUUAAUUAUAGAGCUAUAUAAACAAAUUACUCUGCUAAGAAAUAAAAUAUGCUUCGUGUUCGUUUGAAGGACCUGAAAAAGAAAAAUAGAAGACAGGGUAAGAGAAUAAUUGUUUAAUGGAAGUAUUUCUCGAUCAAUUUUUCGUUUUUUUGGAUUUAUUUGUUCAUAGGAUGUUGGCCUGUGGUUGGAAGAGAUAAAUCUCGGAAGUUAUCGACAAAUUUUCAAGGAAAAUAGGGUUAAUGGAGAGUAUUUGGAAGGGAUGUCGAUGUUUACGACUGAACAGAUACUUCGGUUCAUAAGGAAGUGCCACAUGAAAUGGGGUGAUUUCAUAACUUUGUGCAAGGAGCUCAGACGAAUAAAAGGUCCCUUUCGCCCUCUCUUCUUACCCUUCUUCCUCUUUAUAUCUGUCUUAACCGUGUAAAAUAUCGUCCGAUCACAUCUUAAACUGCAUCAGUUGCUCGUGAUUAAGUUAAUGGUCCCUCGAUGUUUAUGGUAUUUCUAGUUGAAUCUCUAAUUUGUCAGUUCAAAAGACAUAGUGCCUGUUUGUUUUCUUAAUUGCAAACGUGAUGGAUGAUCAUUACUACAUAAUGAGUUGUAGGAUUUAUAUGUUUAGUGUAUAGACUGAAACUUGAUUAUUGUAUUGUUUUUGUUAUUUAUUCUUUGAUUUCAAAUGCGGAUCGAAGAAAAAGCCAAAAAAAUUAUGACAUCCUCCUUAACUCAUCCACUACUUACACCAACUAUUGCACCAAAUAUAAAGACCAACCCCAGCAUCUAUGGAGAUGAUAUACCAAAAGUCAAUACGCAAAUGUCUAUAUUGCCCUCACCAGCCACAUGACCGAUAAUUUCAAAAAAAAAAAAGAAAAAAAAGAUUAUAUUUAUAGACAUAGCAGUUCAUUAUGGGGAUCUCUCCUGUUAUACACUUAUACUAUUCUGCCUAAUUUGUUUGUGAAAAAUAUCAUCUGAUUUUAUCGUUCUGAUGUUCUUGAAGCUCGUGCUCUUGGUCUUAAUUACAUCAACUAUUUCUGAAAAUUCAGCACAUAUAACAUAGGACCGUCUCUAUUAACAUGGAAUUGCAUAUUUUUUACUGAAUGAUUAUAAUCAUGCAUCAGUGGCUUGCUUGAAAGGGGAGCAAAAGGUACGCAGGCCUUGGUGGGCUUCGUCUUGUCUAUCACUUGUAUUCGUCAAGGCUGAGAAACGCAACAGGCAAUCUCGAGUUGUUUCGUUGAAGCUCGAACCUUGAUCUUGGUUUUCAUGUAUGUAUAUGGGAUGUGUACUUUUCUUAAUUUUUAAUUUCAUGUUCAAGUCUAGAUAUAGGAAAGCUAUACGUAUUUCCUUUUUUUUUUUUUUUUUUUUAUGUCUUAAGUUUUGCUAAGAAAAGUCGGUUCUUCUUCGGAGAACCUUCCCCUUUGUCUCGAGUUCUUCGAGAUCAGGAGAUACUAUUACAGUUUACUUAUGUUUGGGAUUUGUUGAGGGAAAACAUUAUAUAUAAGACAACAUGUUUGGUUCUUGUAUGUUUUAAGUGUCGGAUGUUAUUGUUGUUGAUGUCCGUGGGUGAAUCAGAAACAUCCUCGACGAAAACUUCGAAAUGGAUUUUCAAGUAUUUGUUAAAAUUGUUACAAAAUCGUUAUUUUUACGCCAAAAAACACAUUGUGCUUGUAAAAUCUAGACGUCUAAGGUCACAUUCGGGAUUUCGUAGCUCGGAUGUGUCGUUAGACAUCCAAUUUUUUUCUUUCAAUGUAUAGUCACGAAUUUAUCAAAAUUUAUUUUAGGAUGAACCCCAAAAAAAAAAAAAAAAAGUAAAAACAAAGUCUACAUUAAGGAAUUAAUGUAUUAUAUAUAUAUAUAUAUAAAUGAUUAAAUGUAUAAAUAUAUGGGUAAAUUCCACUUUACUCUCUCGUACUCUGCAUGAGAGUCACUUUACCCCCUCGUACUCUCAAUUUUAUCGAUUUACCUCCUUGUACUCGUACAAUUUCCCAAUACAACCCUUUCCUUCAAUUUUUGCCAAUUUAGACUCUAACGCCAUUUGGUCAACUCUGUAAAUUACAAAAUUGCCACUGCCUAUAAUGCGUCGUUUCUCCUCCGUCAAUAUUGUCAUUUCUUCUUCUCCCACCACUUCCUCUUCCAAGAUAUCCCCAAAUUGAACCCCUAACUUAGUAAAAAUCAAGACCCAAAAAUUGAUCAAUUCCACCCAGUGCAAAGAAAAAAAUAUAUGAAUGUGCGAAACUUUCUCUUUUCUAAUCUCGAGAGUCAAAAUCGAAAAAAUUCAAUAUUUACGUCAAUAUUUUGACUCUUGACCAAAUGGCGUCAGAGUCAAAAUCGAAAAAAGUUGAUGAAGAGGGUUGUAUUGGGAAAUUGUACAAGUACAAGGGGGUAAAUCGACGAAAUUAAGAGUACGAGGGGGUAAAGUGGUUCUUGGGCAGAGUACAAGGGGGUAAAGUGGAAUUUACCCUAAAUAUAUAGAACAAAAAUCAACAAAUGGUUUUAUAAUUAUAGAGAUGCAAACUUCAAAUACCAAGUUGUACUUUGGGUAAAACUUGUUCAAAAUUCAAAUGAAACUAUGAAUUGUUGCUAUGUUGGAGGAACUCUAUUUUAAAAAUUAAAAUUUACAGAAAUACCCUCCACCAUUACCAAAAUUCAAAAAAUGACUGACAAAAAAACAGAAAAUAGAACGAGCUUCUCCUCUGAAACAAAACCCUAAACCCCAUAACCAGAAGCAGUGAAGACGAUUGAUUCGAACAUUAGCAGCUAUGUUCUCUCCCCCCACUAAAAAGUCCAGCUUAACUUCACGCAAAAAUGUCGCUAACCGAAGUGAUGAUAUUUCCACCCCGCUCGCCGACAAUCGACGACAACUGCUCGACAGUCCCGCCGUCCCCAAUCGCCCCACCACCGGAACCCCUGCCCCUUGGUCUUCGCGCCUUUCCGUCCUCGCCAGGUAUUAUCAAAUGCAUAUGCGCCUAAUCACUUCUCUCUCUCUCUCUCUCUCUCUCUCUCGUUCAUAUGUUGAGAUUAGCUCUGGGAGAACAGAUAUACGUUUUAAUUUGGACAUUUGUGCUCUGUUGCUUGUUUCAUGAUUUUGUCAUUUCCAUUGCAAGUGAUAGUGGCAAUAGGGUUUACGCAUAUCAAUUAUAAUUUUUUUUUGUAUGUAGGUAUCCUGAAAAUUACGAGGAGUUGACAGGAGAAUCGUGAUUUAUAUGUUAUACUUUAUGCUCUAGUCUCUCNNNNNNNNNNNNNNNNNNNNNNNNNNNNNNNNNNNNNNNNNNNNNNNNNNNNNNNNNNNNNNNNNNNNNNNNNNNNNNNNNNNNNNNNNNNNNNNNNNNNGUUCGGAGAGACUAGAGCAAUAGGUCACAAAUUUCGUUAUUACUUGGCCUUCUGAAUCUGCUUUUCUGGAUAUUCUACCACAAAUUUCUAAUGCAAAUUUGUUACAGUAAUAACCUUCCUAAAUCCUUCCAGGGGAUGUUGGUUGUCUGUUUGGAUGCUAUUGUAUCAUCCUUUAAUUUUGUUGAUUUUGUUGAGAAUGCAUGGUAGAUUGUAGAUGUGGAAACAUGAAAAAAGAUAAGGAAAGACUGUGUCAUGCCUUUGUUUGAUUUGACGUUGGCUUGUCUUUUCAGAAUCACACCUGCAAAGAGAAGUGACAGAGGAGAUGAGGUAGAUGCUGUUCAGCCUGUAUAUGUUGGGGAGUUCCCUCAAAUAGUACGUGAAGCGCAAAUCACGCUAUCACAAAAUCGUGUUUCUGGUUGGUCCAACUUAUUCCCAAAAUACAUAAUAUGGUUAGAUUUGUUUCAAUUUCUUUCUAAAGAUUUUAAUAUUAGUCCAUCUGGCAGCUGAUACAUCUAUCUCUGGUGGAAUGGACAAGGUAACAUCUCUAGCGUGGAUUAUCUGUGGAAACAGGGUCUUUGUCUGGAAUUACUUAUUACCUGCUGCUUCAAGAAAAUGUAUUGUCCUUGACCUUAAUUCUUGCAUAUCAGAAAGUGGAGACACGGACAAAAGUUCGUAUCAAACUAACAAUUGGUUAGUCUGUAUUGUUAACUGGGACACCUCAAAGAAAACUGGUAUCAGUGUUGCUCAACAGACCAAUUCUGCAGGGAUUGUUAUGUGUAACAGAAAAACUCGCUCUCUAAUUUUCUGGCCAGAUAUACAUAAUGCUAACAGGGUCCCUCCAGUCACUUCGGCUGCUUUUUCGGAGGUAGAAGUGAUUUAUCCACGACAAAAUGGAAAAUCCAUCUCAAGCAAGCAGAGGCAAAUUGGCAACAAUGGUGCAAAAUCUUGUUUUGUCAACUCUUUGAUUGCCUCAGCAAUUCCUGCUGCCACCAACAGUUGUGUUGCUAUUGCAUGUUGUUCGAAUGGUAUGCUUUGGAGAUUUCUCUGCCGCCCUUCUGGUAUUCAUUGUGACCAGAUUGAGCAUGGCAUGUCAAAUAUAUUUUAUCAAGGAAGUGAUAAUAGCACACUUGUGGCAAGCAAGGGUUAUCCAAGGUCAUUGAUCUGGCACUCUUUUAGUCAUUCAUCAUCGGACACCACGAGACAGUUCCUUCUACUAACUAAUCACGAGAUACAGUGCUUUGAAGUAAUUUUUUUUUCUGAAUUUGACGUGUCAAAGCUUUGGUCACAUGAAAUUGUUGGCACCGACGGUGAUUUGGGUAUUCAGAAGGAUCUUGCUGGACAAAAGAGAAUUUGGCCUCUUGAUUUGGAUGUUGAUUGUGAUGGCAAGGUUAUAACUAUUCUUAUUGCUAUCUUUUGCAAGGAUCGGGGGGUCACCAGUUCAAGCUACACUGAAUACUCUCUGCUGACCAUGCAAUAUAAAUCUGGAGUAGAUAUUGCGAAGCCAAUAGGUGAAAACAUAUUGGAGAAAAAGGCUCCUAUCCAAGUGAUUAUACCUAAAGCUAGAGUAGAGGAUGAAGAUGUUUUAUUCUCAAUGAGAUUAAAGGUAGGUGGAAAGCCAGCUGGCUCUGCUAUGAUUCUCUCAGGUGAUGGUACUGCAACUGUUUCCCACUAUUGGAGAAACUCCACCAGACUCCAUCAGUUUGAUCUGCCUUAUGAUGCUGGAAAAGUUCUUGAUGCUUCAGUAUUCCCAUCGGCAGACGACAGUGAAGAUGGAGCUUGGGUUGUACUCACAGAGAAAGCUGGAGUUUGGGCUAUACCUGAGAGGGCUGUCUUAAUGGGUGGAGUUGAACCACCUGAAAGAAGCUUGUCUCGUAAAGGGAGUUCUAAUGAUGGACCUUUACAGGACGAGAGAAGAAACUUCUCUGGUGCCGGAAACAUUGCUCCAAGAAGAGCCAAUUCAGAAGCUUGGGAUGCAGGAGAUAGGCAAAGGACGAGCAUGGCUGGAGUUGUGCGUAGAAGCCCUCAAGAUGAAGAAUCAGAAGCUUUACUGAGUCAGCUUUUCCAUGAUUUUCUCUUGUCUGGGAAGGUUGAUGGCGCACUUGACAAACUUAGAAAUUCAAGAGCAUUUGAAAGAGAGGGCGAAACAAAUGUAUUUACCAGGACAAGCAAAUCAAUUGUUGACACUUUAGCUAAACAUUGGACAACAACCAGGGGCCCUGAGAUUGCUUUGUCUGUUGUGUCCACACAACUUGCAGAGAAGCAACAGAAGCAUCAAAAGUUCCUUCAGUUCCUUGCUUUGUCCAAAUGCCAUGAGGAAUUGUGUUCCCACCAGAGUAUGUCAAUUGUUUCCAAUAUAUUUAGUUUCUGGCUAUCCUUCCAUGAUGUUAUUUUAUUAUGAAUAUCUGGUUACUUUGUUCUGAUAUUAUUAAUCUACAGAAUCUUAAGGAUGCUUGCAUUUAUAAGGUGGUACUUAAUAUGUUCUAAUUUUCAUGCCCAAAACAGUCAGAUUUUUUUCUCAGUUUGUUUAACCAUUGACCUGUCACUGACUUGAUGAAGUAGCUAAAAUAAUCCGUAUUGUGUAUAUGCACUAGACUUCUGAUUGUCCAUAAAUGCUGCUGUUUUAAACGUUUCUCCACAUUUGCUGAUUAAUUAUAAACCUACUAUCAAAUCUAAAUAAUUGUUUACUGACCAGGGCAAUCUAUGCAAAUUAUCAUGGAACAUGGGGAAAGGCUUGCCGGCAUGAUCCAACUGAGAGAACUGCAAAACACGAUUAGUCAUGCCAAUGCAUCCGGAUCUGGCUCUUAUCAUGCGUCAGAUGCUCGAACUUCAGGAGCUCUUUGGGAUCUUAUCCAGUUAGUCGGUGAGAGAGCUCGCCGGAACACAGUUCUUUUGAUGGAUAGGGAUAACUCUGAAGUAUUUUAUAGUAAAGUUUCCGACAUUGAGGAAGUAUUCCAUUGCUUAGAGAGACAGCUUGAAUAUGUCAUCAGUAUAGAUAUGCCGAUUCUUGUUCAAUUUCAAAGUUCUUGUGAACUCUCAGAUGCUUGUGUGACGUUAUUCCGUGCAGCCAUCGAAUAUAGGAGUGAGCAUCAUUUGUGGUAUCCUCCACCCGAGGGCUUGAUACCAUGGUACUCCAAAAACAUUGUGUGGAGUGGGCUCUGGACUCUGGCGUCAUUCAUGGUUCAGUUGCUCAAUGAAACAAAUCGCCUUGAUGAUUCUGCAAGGGUUGAUUUUUAUUCGAAUCUUGAAGUCCUCUCGGAAGUAUUACUUGAGUCGUAUUCUACUGCUAUCACAGCAAAAAUUGAACGAAAGGAAGAACACAGGACUCUAUUAGAGGAAUACUGGAACCGCAGAGAUGUCCUUCUUGACUCCCUUUAUCAACAAGUGAAAUCUUUUGUCCAAUCAAAACUCCAGGUUGGUUUUUUUUCUUUUUUUUUUUUUUUAAUAAUUAAAUUCCCUGGUAGAAGCUUCGUACGAGGUUCGGAAAUAGCAAGAAUAGUUGAACCUUUUCGUACCAUAUGAUCCUCUUCCAUCUUGAUGAUUUUAUGUAUUACUUUCCAAUCCAUGUCCCAUCUUAAGUAUACAGUGGAACUGCCAAUGUAGUUUUAGAUUAUAAUUAAAAAAGGGAAUGUCUUUAAUAUGUUUACGACUUAACUUUAUUGCUCUAAAAAAUAUUGUCAUAUAUGUUGUUAGAGAGUCAACACUCCACAUCAUUACUAUCAGUGAGAUGGUGUUUUAGGAAAUAGACCAUUAAUUUGGAAGUCCAACCUUGGUGCAUUCUUUUGCUACACCAUCUAAUGUUUAUAGUUGCCCAAUAUAUAGUUGUUUAUUGAAACAUUAAAGUUUAAGUUGAAAUGUAAAUAUAUAAUAGCUAGUGCAUGGAUGAAAGUACUAUGUAUAGUUCACUUUGGAAAACGAAAAUCUAGAAAUAGGCCACUUCCCAACAUUAACUAUACAUCUUUGUAAACAUUGUUGCUUGAAGGGAAGAAAUAUAUACUCUUCGAUAUGGAGGAAUAUAUGUGGAUCACAUCCAUAAUACAUUCGUAAUGUUGCAGGAUUCAGCUGUGGAAAACGAAGAACAGAACAAGGAUACUCUCAUGAAACUUUCUUCAAAGCUAUUAUCUAUUGCAAAGCGUCACGAGGGGUAUCAAACUAUGUGGAGCAUUUGCUGUGACCUGAAUCAUUCUGAACUCCUUCAAAGUCUCAUGGUAUGACUAAAUACUAUUAAGUUACCGUUAGUGCAACCCCACUGCUUACAGAGGCAAAGGCUUGGGCCUACUUGUUGUGGAUGCUGUUUCGUUUACUUUACAAAAAUAUAUGUAUAUAUAUUUUUUGUCAUUAGUAUUCCAGAGUUGUGAUGGGUCAUUUUGCACGUAAUGUUCUAAUUGCUCAAUCUUCUGUGCACCUUAUUUUUUUUACUCAAAAUAAAACCUUUUGUUUUGUAGCAAGAAAGUAUGGGUCCUAGAGGAGGUUUCAGUUGCUUUGUCUUCAAACAACUCUACGAAAGCAAACAGUUUUCGAAGCUUAUAAGGCUGGGCGAGGAGUUCCAGGCUGAGCUAGCUACAUUUCUGAAGCAGCAUCCAGAUCUUCUCUGGCUUCAUGAAGUGUUUCUUCAUCAAUUUUCCUCAGCUUCCGAAACUUUACAUGCAUUAUCUCUUUCUAAGGAUGAUGCAUCAAUUUCAACUAUUGACGAUACUGAAUCUAGCAGCUCGGGGCGUCAAUUAACUUUGGCGAACAGAAAGCAUUUUCUGAAUUUAGCAAAAAUAUCUGCAAUGGCAGGUAUUUUGCCCACCUGUAGUAUAUCCUUUUUCUGCCUUAGUGUCUCAUGUUAGAAAAUAUGUUUUUUGCAAACUAUACAUGCUUGUCUGUGAGUAGUAUGAUGAGAUAUUGAAUCUAAGUGGUCCCCCUUUCCACUUAUUGCUGCCAAGAAUGUGGUGUUCACAGCUACAAAUACCGUCUAAAUGCAUUUUUCUCAAAUAUCUUGCUGGGCGAUGACCAAGAAUUUAAUGAAAAAAAACUCUGUAUAAAUUUCUGACAAUAAAAAAGUACAUGCACUGAUUCAAUUAGAGAUAAAACAUAUAUAAAAUGGGAUAAAUACAAUUUAUUCAACCAUGCAGAAAGGAACAUGAUCAAAGUGUGACAGAAUAGUUUUUAGUAAUUGUGAUUGCUGGGCUAGUAAUUUCACGAUUGCAGAUGUAUGACUUAGUAGAGCAUGUGAGACAGAUCUAUUUUCACCUGAAUAGUGAUGUCAAUAUGUGAAAAUUUUCAGGAAGAAAGGAUGCGUACGAGCUAAAGAUGCAACGGAUCGAAGCAGAUCUGAACAUUUUACAGCUACAGGUAUGCUAAUGUACCAAAUUUUUAAUUGAUUGAAUCCUUUCUGAGGCUCGGAAACCCUUGGGAAUUCCUUAUUAUGCAGUUAAUCUGCAUAAAAAAAAUCAGCGGUCGGAUUCUUGGGAGUGUAUUCUCUAAAUUAUUUUCCAUAUUAAAUUUUUAAUUUACACUGGCUAAUUGACUAAGGCAGGGAUGUUUGAAUUUUCUCCCUCUAUUAUAAUUACGAAGAGUUCAAGUCUUUUCAGUUUGCACAUUUGUGUUAUACACGAAACAGCCUGUAAAUGUUGUUCUGUUGGAGCACGUUUUGUUGUUUUGAGGAAGGAUCGAUCAUAUUUGUGUUUAUCAGAUUUAUUCUGAUAUGAAAAUUAGUAAUUAAAAUUUUGGACAAAUAAAAAGUGGAUAUUCGAAGAUUUCGUAAUUCUAAAACUUAGCGGAAUGGACAAAUAUCUUUGUAUUUCGGAAAAAACUCUGGAACAUUUUGGAACGUAGGAUAUCCCUGCAAAGCUUCAUCAGAGAUCUGGUUUUCCUUCGAGUUGCAAGGGUGCAAAUGUAAUUAAGGUUUUAUUUCGGCUGAUGAAUGUAUGUUUUUGGCUUCUAUACUGGUGACUAGUGAGUUUGUUCUGUGAAAUUCUCAAAACACCAAUUGUUACUAUUAGUGAACUUUAGACUCCGAGCACUUGAAUUCAUCCAAGUUUAAAUCUAGCUGGAGAUUUGAUCAAAGCCUUAUCAUCGCUUCUCAACGUGACAUAUUCAUCUGUCCUUUAUUAUCACUCCAUUUGUUCUCUUUAUAGUUUAUGCUUACAAAUGGACAUUUGAAAAUUGAGAUUUGUAUUUAAAUGCAGGCCCUGGCCUGGAGAUUAAAAUCCUUAAAUAGCACAAUUUCGCUUUUUUCAGAAUUACAAGAACUUUCAUUCAGACUAACUUCCGUGUCUUACAGGAAGAAAUAUUGAGGCAAACACCAGAUAACGAGGAAAAACAAUCAAUUGAAGAGAAGCUUCUUCCUCCAAUUGACCUCAUCGAAUUGUGUCUCAAAAUCCAAACACGGGAUCUUUCAUUACGAGCCUUUGAUCUUUUCUCAUGGACCAGUGCCUCCUUUCUUAGAAGCAAUACGAACCUAUUGGAAGAAUGCUGGAGGAACGCUGCAAAUCAAGAUGAUUGGGAAAAACUGUACCAAAUGUCUAUGACCGAGGGAUGGAGCGACGAGACGACUGUGGACAUUCUUAAGGAAACAAUACUUUUUCAAGCCUCCAGCAAGUGUUAUGGGCCAGUGGCAGAAAAUCUUGAUGUUAAAUUCGAACAAGUUCUUCCACUGAGCCAAGAAAGUACCGAACACUCUGUAGAAGCUGUUCUCAGACAGCACAAAGAUUUCCCAGAUGCAGGGAAACUGAUGGUGAUGGCGAUUAUGCAUGGCAGUUUUUCGGUGGGUCCCACUGGAACGGACUACGAAGAUGAUUAUCCCAUGGAGUGAAAUAAUUGUUAUAAGGUAUGGGUUUAUUUGACUUGUGUAGUAUUUUCAAGAGUCUCUUUAAUUGCGAGGGGGUGUAGUAUUUUCUGGAAUUCUCGAACUCUGGAAUUUUGAAGUGGAUAUACGAGAUUGAUUAGAUUAAAAACAUGAUCAUGGUAAAAAAAGGCUCAACGAAACGGAAAGAGCAAUUCUCAUGUUCUUGAUUGUAGCUGUCAAAAUUGCUGUUGCUGGGUACUAGAUGUGUAAGCUUGUAUGGAUAGCAUGAAACGGAAAACAAUUUUUAAUAUGUCGUUUAAGUCGAAGUUUCUGUACCUGAGAAAUGCUAUACUGCAUCGAGAUACAAGUUGUAUGAUAGAUAUAUUUAUUCUCUAACCAACUGUAAGUAGGAGAAUUGGUAUUAUCUAAUACUGAGUAUUAUGUGUGACAUCUUGUUAUUUACUUUGCCGGGUGAAAUUUUGUAAGCCAAAAGGCGAAUAAUUCAUCAACCGUAAACGUGCAGAAAUUAGUUACCUAAAAGAGGAUUUUGUGCACAAAUUGAUGAUAAUUUGUCAGUGGUAAGUUAUGUGUAUUAAUAUUUAUAAAUCAUAAUGAAUAAACAGUCCAACCAACCAUAGUUAAAAUUUAAAACAUAGAUUGAUAUUAUGAAUGACACACAAUCUUUGAUCCAAUAUUGAUAUUGACAAUUAUAUAAAUAAAUAAAUAUUCAUAAGUCCCAUAUAAAAAGAAAAUAAGCAGAAUAGGAUUUCCCAUAUUUUUCAGUGGAAUUAAAUUAAAUGUGUGCUUGUGGAAUGUGUUGUGCCAUUGUGUGUGUGACUGUGUUUUUCGUGCACCAAGUGACAUGGCACUUUAAUUGGCUGAGAAUGGAUUACAUUUAGCAACAAAACUCCAAAUCAGAAUUCCCAAUGCCACAUGGCCAAAUGAAGACCUAGACUUCUCUUUAAACAAAAAUCUGGAGGGAAAUCUUGAUCCACCAAAACCAACCAAUCAGCUAAUGCUGACGUGUAGAUAUUGCAAUCCACAACAUAAUCCCAACUUCUAUUUAUACCCUCUUUGCACCACCCUUAUUCCUCACCACCAUCGAGCACAACAAACAAAAUCAAUUAGCAACAAAAAGAAAAAAAAAAACAAAAAAAAAAAAUGGCAACUUCAGCAAUUCAACAAUCUGCAUUCAGUGGGAAGACUGCUUUGAAGCCACAAAAUGAGCUGAUCAGGAAGAUCGGCAACGUCGGCGGCGGCCGCUUCACCAUGAGACGUACCGUCAAGAGCGCCCCUCAGAGCAUAUGGUAUAAUUUCCGCAAUUCGGUAAAUUUAUUAUUAAUUAAUUAUAUAUCUCAAUUUAUCGAAAAUAGGUACAGUUUCAAAAAUAUGGUUUGAUUUAGUGUAACAUGUAAAAUUUAUGUGUUUCAUCUAAUAAUAAUAAUGUGUAAUUUACUAUAAUUUUUAUUAUAUAUCUUGAUGAUUUAGGUACGGAGAAGACAGGCCCAAGUACUUGGGCCCAUUCUCCGAGCAGACCCCAUCGUACCUCACCGGUGAAUUCCCCGGUGACUACGGAUGGGACACUGCUGGGCUCUCGGCAGAUCCCGAGACAUUCGCCAAGAACCGUGAGCUGGAGGUGAUCCACAGUAGGUGGGCCAUGCUCGGCGCUCUGGGAUGCGUCUUCCCAGAGGUUCUAUCAAAGAACGGUGUCAAAUUUGGAGAGGCAGUGUGGUUCAAGGCCGGGUCAC